UUAGUUUUAUAAAUUUUGUACAGCAUAUCAUAUGUGAUAUAUUUUUUAUUUAUUAAGUAAAUGUUUGGACAUGGCUAUACAUAUUUGUAGAUAGACAUUUCUUUACUUAAAUGCAAACCGCAUAUUAAAACGUAUUAUAUAUGAAAGGUUAAAUCUAAAUGCACGAUUUUUUCAUCAAUAUGAAUGUAAUAUUUUUUGUUUUCAUAAGCCUUUGUGAUGUGGGCGAUACGAUUGUUCCUCCUAAAAAGUUGUAUCUUUGGAGUGUACAUUUUAGUCACAGAGGCAAGUGUUUUGCUGCAAACAAGUGAUGGAAAUACGACUUAUUUUAAAGGGUCUUCAGUAGAACUUGUGUGCACAAUUAUUCCCUAUUAUAAUGAGAUGACUUGGUAUGUGGACAAUGAACCAUACGCAGACUGUUUUUUAGGCACAUGCGGUUAUUCUCCAAACAAACCAUAUACAUUUACAUUUACCUUCAAUGAAAGUGCUGGGGAAUUUAAGCUCACUAUAGAUUCGGUGAAUUCGUCUCACGCUACUCUUUCAUUUGCUUGCGACGAUGGAAAUGUGAGAGAAACCAUUUCUAUCAAUGUGACAAUAGGUAAUUUUUAAAAAUACAAACCAUGUGCCACGACCAUAGAUAUAUCAAUAUCGUUUGGCCGAAAAUAAAUAAAGCAUUAGUUUCUGUUUA